rnacentral:lncRNA from 1 species
GGGGCGGCGCGAGGACUCGGCGGCGGCCCCCUCCCCGCGGGCCCGGGAGCCGACGCCGGCUGGGGCCGCACCUCCGGGACCGGGCAGCGCGGCCGAGAAAUCGCCGGCUGGACAUCCAGAGCACCUAGCCUGUUUUUUUCUGCAUCUUGAAUUGAGCAUUAACAGGACUCUUGAAGGAAGUAGAA